rnacentral:rRNA from 1 species
AUAACCCUUUGUGACCUUUAUACCUGUUGCUUCGGCGGCGCGCCUCCGGGCGUGCCCGCCGGUAUCAUCAGAAUCUCUGUUUGAACCCGACGAUACUUCUGAGUGUUCUAAGCGAACUGUUAAAACUUUCAACAACGGAUCUCUUGGCUCCAGCAUCGAUGAAGAACGCAGCGAAACGCGAUAAGUAAUGUGAAUUGCAGAAUUCAGUGAAUCAUCGAAUCUUUGAACGCACAUGGCGCCUUCCAGUAUCCUGGGAGGCAUGCCUGUCCGAGCGUCGUUUCAACCCUCGAGCCCCCGUGGCCCGGCGUUGGGGAUCUGCCCAGGCAGGCCCCGAAAACCAGUGGCGGACCCGUUUAGGCCCUUCCUUUGCGUAGUAAUACUGCCCUUUGCGUAGUAAUACUGCCUCGCAUCGGGAGCCGGCGGGCUUUCAGCCUCUAAACCCCCAGCAAG